rnacentral:tRNA from 1 species
GAGCCGUUAGCUCAACCGGUUAGAGCAUCUGCCUUUUAAGCAGAGGGUCGCUGGUUCGACUCCAGCACGGCUCA